AGUCGUAUGGUCUAAUGGUUAUGAUUUCUCGUUCACAAGCAAUUGUGUACACAGUCCCGAGAAGGUUCCGUGUUCGAUCCACGGUACGACUA
rnacentral:tRNA from 1 species